rnacentral:rRNA from 1 species
UACGUAGGGUGCAAGCGUUAAUCGGAAUUACUGGGCGUAAAGCGUGCGCAGGCGGUUGUGCAAGACAGGUGUGAAAUCCCCAGGCUUAACCUGGGAACUGCAUCCGAUACUGGAUGGCUUGAAUCCGGGAGAGGGAUGCAGAAUUCCAGGUGUAGCGGUGAAAUGCGUAGAUAUCUGGAGGAAUACCGGUGGCGAAGGCGGCAUCCUGGACCGGCAUUGACGCUGAUGAGCGAAAGCUAGGGGAGCAAACGGG